AGUGCACCAGCUUCGUAAGCCCCCUGUUUACACUCGACAGUACUCCUACGUGCAGUCUUUGCUCUUUGCUGUCUCCCUGCUGCUCUCGAUCUCCCACACUGUACCUGUCCUCACUCAAGUUGCAGUGUAUUUGCUGCGGUAGCCGGCCUCAUCCAGUUCACCAAUCAUGUUAAGCAUUAGACAUGGAAGAGAGCAGCACAGCUCAUGAGCCUUUUGGGGUACCGGUAAUUGAUCUCAACCUUCAGGGAAAGCUCCAGUGGUCAAGAACUACUGGUAACAAGAUGCUACAUUGGUUUCGCCUGUGUUUGCAAUGCUCCUCGUCUCCACCAAUCGGCUCUCGUCUUCUACUCCACCGGUGUCUUGUCCAGGUAUGUCUGACUUUCUCAUGAGACUCCACUUGCUUUGUUUGUUGACCAAGUUGGGUUCAAGUUUAACAACAUGGUUCAAGUCCCAGUGUCUAGUGUUUAGCAAAUCUGCCUCAAAGCUCUUCGAUUAGGGUUUGAAUCUGGGCUGUGGCCUUCCUAUGAUUAACUGGCAAGUAAUUCAGCCUCUCAGCCAAAUUCAGGCGGGUCACCACUGCAGGUCACCCUUGACCCUGUUGAGGAUAAGCCAAUGCAGAAAAUAGAUGGUUUAAGUCACACAGUUCAGUUCUUAUUGUAAGCAGUGUUACACCAAAAUAGUAAAUUAAAGAGCCCAAUUCCAGUGUGUUU